rnacentral:rRNA from 1 species
AUUGAACGCUGGCGGCAUGCUUUACACAUGCAAGUCGAACGGUAACAGGGAGCUUGCUCCGCUGACGAGUGGCGAACGGGUGAGUAAUGCGUCGGAACGUGCCGAGUAGUGGGGGAUAACGCAGCGAAAGUUGUGCUAAUACCGCAUACGUACUGAGGUAGAAAGUGGGGGACCUUCGGACCUCACGCUAUUCGAGCGGCCGACGUCUGAUUAGCUAGUAGGUGAGGUAAAGGCUCACCUAGGCGACGAUCAGUAGCGGGUCUGAGAGGAAGAUCCGCCACACGGGGACUGGGACACGGCCCAGACUCCUACGGGAGGCAGCAGUGGGGAAUUUUGGACAAUGGGCGAAAGCCUGAUCCAGCCAUGCCGCGUGUCUGAAGAAGGCCUUCGGGUUGUAAAGGACUUUUGUCGGGGAGGAAAUCCCCAGCGCUAAUACCGCUGGGGGAUGACAGUACCUGAAGAAUAAGCACCGGCUAACUACGUGCCAGCAGCCGCCGUAAUAC